AACGAACGCUGGCGGCAUGCCUACACAUGCAAGUCGAACGAGAUCUUCGGGUCUAGUGGCGCACGGGUGCGUAACGCGUGGGAAUCUGCCCUUUGGUUCGGAAUAACAGUUGGAAACGACUGCUAAUAUCGGAUGAUGACGAAAGUCCAAAGAUUUAUCGCCAGAGGAUGAGCCCGCGUAGGAUUAGCUAGUUGGUGGGGUAAAGGCGCACCAAGGCGACGAUCCUUAGCUGGUCUGAGAGGAUGAUCAGCCACACUGGGACUGAGACACGGCCCAGAGUCCUACGGGAGGCAGCAGUGGGGGAUAUUGGACAAUGGGCGAAAGCCUGAUCCAGCAAUGCCGCGUGAGUGAUGAAGGCCGUAGGGUUGUAAAGCUCUUUUACCCGGGAUGAUAAUGACAGUACCGGGAGAAUAAGCUCCGGCUAACUCCGUGGCAGCCGCCGCGGUAA
rnacentral:rRNA from 1 species